GAUGAACGCUAGCGGCAGGCCUAACACAUGCAAGUCGAGGGGCAGCACGUAAAGAUGCAGCAACGUAGCUUUUGGUGGCGACCGGCGGACGGGUGCGUAACGCGUAUGCAACCUACCUUUUACAGGGGGAUAACGGAUGGAAACGUCCACUAAUACCCCAUAAUAUCCGAAGAGGCAUCUCUUUGGGUUGAAAACUCCGGUGGUAAAAGAUGGGCAUGCGUUGUAUUAGGUAGUUGGUGAGGUAAUGGCUCACCAAGCCUACGAUACAUAGGGGGACGGAGAGGUUAGCCCCCCACACUGGUACUGAGACACGGACCAGACUCCUACGGGAGGCAGCAGUGAGGAAUAUUGGUCAAUGGGGGCAACCCUGAACCAGCCAUGCCGCGUGCAGGAAGACGGCUCUAUGAGUUGUAAACUGCUUUUGUAUAGGGAUAAAUCGGGAUACGUGUAUUCCGUUGAAGGUACUAUACGAAUAAGGAUCGGCUAACUCCGUGCCAGCCGCCGCCGUAA
rnacentral:rRNA from 1 species